rnacentral:rRNA from 1 species
CACGUAGGGGACGAGCGUUGUCCGGAUUCAUUGGGCGUAAAGCGCGCGUAGGCGGCUCGGAAAGUCGGUCGUGAAAUGCCGGGGCUCAACCCCGGGACUGCGUCCGAUACUUCCGGGCUGGAGGUAGGUAGGGGAGAUCGGAAUUCCUGGUGUAGCGGUGAAAUGCGCAGAUAUCAGGAGGAACACCGGUGGCGAAGGCGGAUCUCUGGGCCUUACCUGACGCUGAGGCGCGAAAGCUAGGGGAGCGAACAGGA